CACCGCGGUUAUACGAGAGGCCUGAGUUGAUAGACACCGGCGUAAAGGGUGGUUAGGGACAAAACCUGUUCUAGAGUCGAACACCUCCACAGCUGUUAUACGCACCCGGAGAUACGAAGCCCCACCACGAAAGUGACUCUACGCCCUCCCCCCGAACCCACUGCAGCUAUGGAA
rnacentral:rRNA from 1 species